UACGAAGGGGCUAGCGUUGUUCGGAAUUACUGGGCGUAAAGCGCGCGCAGGUGGUCUUUCAAGUCAGUGGUGAAAGCCCGGAGCUCAACUCCGGAAAUGCCAUUGAAACUGUAACGACUUGAGGAUGAGAGAGGUGAGUGGAAUUCCCAGUGUAGAGGUGAAAUUCGUAGAUAUUGGGAAGAACACCGGUGGCGAAGGCGGCUCACUGGCUCAUAUCUGACGCUCAGGCGCGACAGCGUGGGGAUCAAACAGG
rnacentral:rRNA from 1 species